rnacentral:rRNA from 1 species
AGAUGAUCCAGCCACACCUUCCAGUAUGUCUACCUUGUUACGACUUCACUCUAAUCAUUAGCCUUAACCUUAAAAACAAAAUGUAUUAAAAAAAAAACAAAUUUGUUUUUGAUAUGACCAAUUUUUUUAGUGUGACGGGCGGUAUGUACAAGGCUCAAGAACAAAAAAUUCACCACCAUAUGACUAAAUGGUGAUUACUAGCAAUUCCAACUUCAUGAAGACGAAUUUCAGUCCACAAUCCGAAAUAAAAAAAGAUGAUUUUUUUUUAUUUUACAUAUUUAUUUUGUACCAUCCAGUGUAGCAUGUGUGUCGCCCAAAACUUUUGGGGCAUGAUGACUUGACGUUAUUCCCACUUUCACCAAAAUUAAUAAAUUAUUUUUACUAAUUAAUUUUUAAAUUAAAAAAAAAAGGUAGUUAAAUAUAGAAGUUUCGCUCGUUGAUGAACUUAAUCAUACUUUGACCCUAUGGCACGAACUUAUGUCAGCCAUGCGCCACCUGUAUCUAGUUAAAAAAACCGUAUUUUUAUUUGUAAAUAAAAACACAAAAUUAAUUUUGUUUUAUCAUGAUAUAUCAAGUCUGGUAAGAUUCCUCGGUUUACAUCGAAUUAAACCACAUGCUCCAUUGCUUGUGUGAGCCCCCGUCAAUUCCUUUGAGUUUCAUUUUUGCAAACGUACUCCCCAGGCAGGAUACUUUAUGCGUUAGCUAUAGCUACAAAAAUGGAAAAAUUCCAUAUUAAAAUUAAAUUUAACAAUACAGUGCUUAGUAUCCAGCGUUUACAGCUUAGACUACUAGGGUUUCUAAUCCUAUUUGAUACCAAAGCUUUCGUCUCUCAGUGUCAGUGUAAAAACAGCAGAGUGCUUUCGCAUUAGGUGUUCCUUUUGAUAUCUAUGCAUUUCACUGCUACUCAAAAAAUUCCCUCUGCCUGAAAAUUACUCAAAAACUUUUUAGUUUCCUUCGUUUAUUUUAUAUAUUAGAUUUAACUGGAGUAUAGCUCCAGUAUUUUAGGAAAAGACUUAAAAAGUCACCUACAAACACUUUACGCCCAAUGAUUCCGGAUAACGCUUACAUCCUCUGUAUUACCGCGGCUGCUGGCACAGAGUUAGCCGAUGUUUAUUCUUUGGAUACUGUCAUUUCUCCUUUAUUUUUUCUUUUCCAAAAAAAGAAGUUAAGGGCAAAAGGACCUAUGCCACACGUGGCAUUGCAUCCGUCAGGCUUUUGCCCAUUGCGAAAAAUUCCUCACUGCUGAUCUAAAAAUAGAUUGGAUAUAUCUUAAUUCCGUGUGGUUGAUCAUCCUUAUAGGACCAACUACUCUUUUUUGUCUUGGUAAACUAUUACUCUACCAACUAACUAAUUAGACAUGAGACCACCAAAAUAAAAUAAAAAAUUAUUUUCAAAAAAAAUAUUUAAAUAAAAGGUUAGUUCUUAUGUAUUACUCACCAGUACGCUACUGUAAAAAAUAAUUAAUUUCUACUUUAAGGUUAACUCGCAUGUGUUAAGCAUGCCACUAGCGUUCAUCCUGAGCUAGGAUCAAACUCU